rnacentral:rRNA from 1 species
CACCGGCGGCUCGAGUGGUGGCCACUUUUAUUGGGUCUAAAGCGUCCGUAGCCGGCUUGGCAAGUCCCCUGGGAAAUCUUGCGGCUUAACCGUCAGGCGUCCAGAGGAUACUGCCAGGCUUGGGACCGGGAGAGGUGAGAGGUACCUCAGGGGUAGGGGUGAAAUCUUGUGAUCCCUGAGGGACCACCAGUGGCGAAGGCGUCUCACUAGAACGGGUCCGACGGUCAGGGACGAAAGCUGGGGGCACGAACCGG